GGUCAAGCGAACAAGUGCAUGUGGUGGAUGCCUUGGCGAUCACAGGCGAUGAAGGACGCGGUAGCCUGCGAAAAGCUACGGGGAGCUGGCAAACGAGCUUUGAUCCGUAGAUGUCCGAAU
rnacentral:rRNA from 1 species